rnacentral:sRNA from 1 species
UACGGCGCUUUUUAACGACACACACGUUUCGUCACAUAUGGUGGGGUCCCAUAAAUUAAGGGUACCGUAUGGGAAGCGUGGAGGCUUAAC